rnacentral:lncRNA from 1 species
AGCAAUAUAUACACACCAAGCAACAUUUUAUACUGUAUUUUAUGCUGUUAUUUGUUGCAUCAAUUAAGUGUUUUAAAUUUGUUGUUAGCCACCCUGAGACCAGUUUUCUGAAUCAGGAAGGCGGGGUAUAAAUAAUAAUAACUAUUAUUAUUAUUAUUUUAUUAUUAAUAAUAGAUUGCCUGAGAUUGCACAGCCCCAUGGCCAUCAGUCCAUGCAUUAGCUUCUCCGAACUCAGCCCAAAAUAAUCUGAUUUAUAGAUAGCUAACCUGUUAGCCUGUGGCUUGCCUGACUGACCACAUGCUACUAGCUACCUGCAGAUUAUUCAUUAGCCGCUUCUGCCAAUGCCUCACUUUCUUCAACACUUGAUGUCCAACAUCAAAAGAAGGUACCCAGCAAUAUCACCUCCUCCCAACAGAUUAGGACUAGGAAAUUAAAGGCUGUUCUCAGCCAUCAUAGUGCUUAACAAAAGUUAGGGGAAAGGAAGGAACAGGGGGCAGGAAGAGUGAAACCGAGUUAGACCACUCGAAAUACAAAUAUAUUCUUUGGGACUCUCACCAGGCCUUGCAUCAGCCCACCAGCCCUGCUUUUCAUCCUCCUAGUGUGUUUUUGUCUAGGGUGGAAUGGGCUUUUAAAGCCGAAUAAUGCCUCUUGCUUGUUUGGAUACAGGAUAGAGUAGCACAUGAGCAUGUGGAAAGUAGCUUGCUGAACAAAGGUAGAAAUUACAUUCCUUGCUCUGCCCAUUUGGGUUUCUGGCUCCACCCACCCCUGGCACCUAACCUUCCAUCCCCGAAGGUGUCCUAGAAGGAAUAACAGACCUUGGAACAAAAAAGGAUUCCCAACCCCUGAUCUAGGAUCUACAGCAGCAGGGAAUGAAGCCAACAGCCUUCCCUUGUCUCUUCUCCUUCAUGCCUGGUAUUUGGGGCUAAACUGCCUCUGCAUCUGGAGGCUCCAUUUGCACGUUACGUCUAAUACUGCCCGCCCCCCCAGUAUAGCUGCCCACGCUCCAUAAAUUCGCCUGAUCCCAUUUGAAAGCUGCAGCCAUCACUGCAUCUUGCAGCAGCAAUUUGCAUCAAUUAAUGACAUUACGUUUCAACGUUUAGGGGACUGUCUCUGCCAAACGAGAAAACCUAGAGAGGUUUGUCUGGCGUCUGUCUUCCUAGCAGUGCCAGGCGAAGGACUCCCCACCCACCCCCUCCACUGCCACCAAGUUUUCUGGGUGCAGUUUUAACCCCCUUGGCUGGUCUGUGCUGCUUUUAUGAUUAUCUGGCUUUUAGCUUAUUUUACUGCUUUGCUUUGAUGCUUUUAAGUAUUCUGCUCCUUUUGCUAACUGCCAUGGGAACAGCAUACAAGAGUAGCAUAAAAACAGUGUUUUAUUUUUUUAAAAAAACUGAGAAAUGGGCUAGCAGUAGAGAGAAAAUCCUGCUUGUUUUUUCUUCAGGGAAGGGAGAAGUCUUGCCGAGGUUAUACCUGGAACGGCAACACACCUGUUAUCCAAAAGAGUUGAGAGCAGCAUUCCAGCCUUUUGAUGUAAUCCAGAAGACGCUUUGGAACAGUCCACACCCUUUCCCAAGCUCAAUAGUCUGACUGUGAGCUACCCUGUUCUUCUGAAUGCUUAGAUCCCACUGCAGCACCACUGAUCUCAUGGGGUAACUGCCCCACCUAGCCCCAGAGGCAUCUGAACAAGCAGUCGGACUCCUUGCGGAAAAUUGGGCUGCAGCUCAUUUUAAAAUCCUUUGAGAAUAUGCGCGUGGCAAGGUUCUGACUGAUGGAAACAGCACACAAGCUUUGCGAGCAAGGAGGUUGCAAUAUGGCAUUAUCUAAAAGCGUGUGGCCUAGUGGUUAGAGCAUUGGACUAGGGAGACCAGGGUUUGAAUCUCCACUCAUCCACAAGGUCCCUGGGUGGCCAGUCACGUGUCUCUCCACUUAACCUGCCUCACAGGGUUGCUGUGAGAAUAACAUGGAGAAGGAGGGGGAACCCUGUGUCACCCUGAGCUCCUUGGUGGAGAGAUGGGAUAUUCGUAUGAUAAUAAGCUGCUUCUAAGCUAUUUGUUUUAUAAAUAAAUCAUUUUAAUGCAUUUUUCUUAAAAUGGAACAUUCCCU